CUCGGGGAGGGGGAGUCCCUCAGCCCAGAAUGCGAGAAGGCGCAGGCCAAGCCGAGGGACCCCACUGGUGCAUG
rfam:Myotis brandtii contig211092, whole genome shotgun sequence.